ACGGCUCAGAAACACGUAGGUAAUCUACCCUCAGGCCUGGUAUAACCUUGGGAAACUGAGGCUAAUCCCGGAUAGGCACAGGCUUCUGGAAAGUGCCAGUGCCUAAAGCUCCGGCGCCUGAGGAUGAGCCUGCGGCUGAUUAGGUUGUUGGCGGGGUAAUGGCCCACCAAGCCGACGAUCGGUACGGGCAGUGAGAGCUGUAGCCCAGAGAUGGGGACUGAGACAAGGCCCCAGGCCCUACGGCGCGCAGCAGGCGCGAAACCUUCACAAUGCUCGAAAGAGUGAUGAGGGUACUCCGAGUGCCUAUGCUUUGCAUAGGCUUUUGUCUAGCGUAAAUAGUUGGGCGAAUAAGGGCUGGGCAAGACCGGUGCCAGCCGCCGCGGUAACACCGGCAGCCCAAGUGGUGACCGCUUUUAUUGGGCCUAAAGCGUCCGUAGCCGGACAGGCAAGUCUUUGGGUAAAUCCUACGUCUUAAGCGUGGGAAUUCUAAAGAUACUACCUGUCUUGAGGCCGGGAGAGGCUAGAGGUACUCCUGGGGUAGGGGUAAAAUCCUAUAAUCCCAGGGGGACCACCGAUGGCGAAGGCAUCUAGCUGGAACGGGCCUGACGGUGAGGGACGAAACCCAGGGGAGCGAGCCGGAUUAAAUACCCGGGUAGUCCUGGGCGUAAAUGAUGUGGGCUUGGUGUGAGCGCAUCGAUGAGGUGUGCUUGUGCCGUAGGGAAGCCGUUAAGCCCACCGCCUGGGGAGUACGGUCGCAAGGCUGAAACUUAAAGGAAUUGGCGGGGGAGCACUACAAGGGGUGGAGGCUGCGGUUUAAUUGGAUUCAACGCCGGGAAACUCACUGGGAGAGACAGUAGUAUGAUGGCCAGGUUAAUGACCUUGCUUGACAAGCUGAGAGGAGGUGCAUGGCCGCCGUCAGUUCGUACCGUGAGGCGUACUCUUAAGUGAGUCAACGAACGAGACCCUUAUCUGCAGUUGCCAGCUUGCCCUUCGGGGCGAAGGGGACUCUGCAGAGACCGCUGCUGCUAAAGCAGAGGAAGGAUAGGGCUACGGUAGGUCAGUAUGCCCCGAAUCUCCCAGGCUACACGC
rnacentral:rRNA from 1 species